rnacentral:lncRNA from 1 species
GUGGUAGUGCUCAAUGUGUGAGUAGGCUGUGGACCUAAGAUAUUGGGUGGUGCGGUCAUGUAUCCCCAGGAUCAUGGUAAUGCACAGUGAUGGGCGAGCAGGCCAUGAAUAUUGUCAAGCGAUAUGGCCAGAGAUGGAAAGACAUAUCAAGGAUGCAAGACCGGGAUCGUGGCAUAAGAGUUUGUGGGAAAGCUUGGAUAGUCGAACCCCAGAGGACUCAGAUGUGUACG